rnacentral:rRNA from 1 species
AAAAGGUGCCUGUACCGCAAACCGACACAGGUAGGCGAGGAGAGAAUCCUAAGGUGUGCGAGAGAACUCUGGUUAAGGAACUCGGCAAAAUGACCCCGUAACUUCGGGAGAAGGGGUGCUUUCUUAACGGAAAGCCGCAGUGAAUAGGCCCAAGCGACUGUUUAGCAAAAACACAGCUCUCUGCGAAGCCGUAAGGCGAAGUAUAGGGGGUGACACCUGCCCGGUGCUGGAAGGUUAAGGAGAGGGGUUAGCGUAAGCGAAGCUCUGAACUGAAGCCCCAGUAAACGGCGGCCGUAACUAUAACGGUCCUAAGGUAGCGAAAUUCCUUGUCGGGUAAGUUCCGACCCGCACGAAAGGUGUAACGAUUUGGGCACUGUCUCAACCAGAGACUCGGUGAAAUUAUAGUACCUGUGAAGAUGCAGGUUACCCGCGACAGGACGGAAAGACCCCGUGGAGCUUUACUGUAGCCUGAUAUUGAAUUUUGGUACAGUUUGUACAGGAUAGGCGGGAGCCAUUGAAACCGGAGCGCUAGCUUCGGUGGAGGCGCUGGUGGGAUACCGCCCUGACUGUAUUGAAAUUCUAACCUACGGGUCUUAUCGACCCGGGAGACAGUGUCAGGUGGGCAGUUUGACUGGGGCGGUCGCCUCCUAAAGUGUAACGGAGGCGCCCAAAGGUUCCCUCAGAAUGGUUGGAAAUCAUUCGUAGAGUGCAAAGGCAUAAGGGAGCUUGACUGCGAGACCUACAAGUCGAGCAGGGACGAAAGUCGGGCUUAGUGAUCCGGUGGUUCCGCAUGGAAGGGCCAUCGCUCAACGGAUAAAAGCUACCCCGGGGAUAACAGGCUUAUCUCCCCCAAGAGUCCACAUCGACGGGGAGGUUUGGCACCUCGAUGUCGGCUCAUCGCAUCCUGGGGCUGUAGUCGGUCCCAAGGGUUGGGCUGUUCGCCCAUUAAAGCGGUACGCGAGCUGGGUUCAGAACGUCGUGAGACAGUUCGGUCCCUAUCCGUCGUGGGCGUAGGAAAUUUGAGAGGAGCUGUCCUUAGUACGAGAGGACCGGGAUGGACGCACCGCUGGUGUACCAGUUGUUCUGCCAAGGGCAUAGCUGGGUAGCUAUGUGCGGAAGGGAUAAGUGCUGAAAGCAUCUAAGCAUGAAGCCCCCCUCAAGAUGAGAUUUCCCAUAGCGUAAGCUAGUAAGAUCCCUGAAAGAUGAUCAGGUUGAUAGGUUCGAGGUGGAAGCAUGGUGACAUGUGGAGCUGACGAAUACUAAUAGAUCGAGGACUUAACCAUAUAA